rnacentral:misc_RNA from 1 species
GAUGAAGAACGCAGCGAAAUGCGAUAAGUAAUGUGAAUUGCAGAAUUCAGUGAAUCAUCGAAUCUUUGAACGCACAUUGCGCCCGCCAGUAUUCUGGCGGGCAUGCCUGUUCGAGCGUCAUUUCAACCAUCAAGCCCCCGGGCUUGUGUUGGGGACCUGCGGCUGCCGCAGGCCCUGAAAAGCAGUGGCGGGCUCGCUGUCACACCGAGCGUAGUAGAUUUUAUCUCGCUCAGGGCGUGCUGCGGGUUCCGGCCGUUAAACCACCUUCAUAACCCAAGGUUGACCUCGGAUCAGGUAGGAAGACCCGCUGAACUUAAGCAUAUCAAUAAGCGGAGGC